GACGAACGCUGGCGGCGUGGCUAAGACAUGCAAGUCGAACGGACGUAGCAAUACGUCAGUGGCGGACGGGUGAGUAAUGUAUCGCUAAUGUACCCUGGAGUCCGGGAUAGCUGACCGAAAGGUCAGGUAAUACCGGAUGAUAUCCUCUUGUCGCAUGAUGAGGGUCUCAAAGGAGCAAUCCGCUCUGGGAGCAGGCGAUAUCGUAUCAGGUAGNGGUAGGGUAACGGCCUACCAAGCCGACGACGCGUAGCUGGUCUGAGAGGACGGCCAGCCACAUCGGGACUGAGACACUGCCCGGACUCC
rnacentral:rRNA from 1 species